AUAUAUUGAGGAACACCAGAGGCUAAGGCGAGUACCUGGGACAUAAUUGACGCUGAGGCUUGAAAGCGUG
rnacentral:rRNA from 1 species